CCAUUCAGGGCCUGAGGUGGUUCUGUGGCGUAGUGGAUGUGACACCAGCGCACUUGUCUCUUCAUUUAUACUAAUCAAGUGAAACCUUCAGAUGUCCGUUCUUAUUGUUUUUGCUUUUUUCCCUUUGACAUCAUUAAUAAACCAGCUACGGUUAUCGUGGUAGAGACUGCCGCUCCAACCUUUACCUGUUGCCCACUGGGGAGACUGUGUACUUCAUCGCUUCAGUGGUCGUCCUGUUCAAUGUGGAUGAACGGCUGCAGAGACACUACACGGGACACACAGAUGACAUCAAUGCCUUGCGGUCCACCCAGACAAAAUCACUAUAGCAACCGGACAGGUGGCAGGCACCACCGCAGAUGGCAAACAGUUGGCUCCUCAUGUACGAGUGUGGGACUCCGUCAGCCUCAAC